rnacentral:rRNA from 1 species
UUGACGGGGGCCCGCACAAGCGGUGGAGCAUGUGGUUUAAUUCGACGCAACGCGAAGAACCUUACCUAGGCUGGACAUGCACGUAGUAGGAGGAUGA